AGUCGAGGGGCAGCAUUUUAGUUUGCUUGCAAACUAAAGAUGGCGACCGGCGCACGGGUGAGUAACACGUAUCCAACCUGCCGAUAACUCGGGGAUAGCCUUUCGAAAGAAAGAUUAAUAUCCGAUAGUAUAUUAAAACCGCAUGGUUUUACUAUUAAAGAAUUUCGGUUAUCGAUGGGGAUGCGUUCCAUUAGUUUGUUGGCGGGGUAACGGCCCACCAAGACUACGAUGGAUAGGGGUUCUGAGAGGAAGGUCCCCCACAUUGGAACUGAGACACGGUCCAAACUCNUACGGGAGGCAGCAGUGAGGAAUAUUGGUCAAUGGACGAGAGUCUGAACCAGCCAAGUAGCGUGAAGGAUGACUGCCCCUAUGGGUUGUAAACUUCUUUUAUAUGGGAAUAAAGUAUUCCACGUGUGGGAUUUUGUAUGUACCAUAUGAAUAAGGAUCGGCUAACUCCGUGCCAGCAGCCGCGGUAAUACGGAGGAUCCGAGCGUUAUCCGGAUUUAUUGGGUUUAAAGGGAGCGUAGGUGGAUUGUUAAGUCAGUUGUGAAAGUUUGCGGCUCAACCGUAAAAUUGCAGUUGAAACUGGCAGUCUUGAGUACAGUAGAGGUGGGCGGAAUUCGUGGUGUAGCGGUGAAAUGCUUAGAUAUCACGAAGAACUCCGAUUGCGAAGGCAGCUCACUAGACUGCAACUGACACUGAUGCUCGAAAGUGUGGGUAUCAAACAGGAUUAGAUACCCUGGUAGUCCACACAGUAAACGAUGAAUACUCGCUGUUUGCGAUAUACAGUAAGCGGCCAAGCGAAAGCAUUAAGUAUUCCACCUGGGGGAGUACGCCGGCAACGGUGAAACUCAAAGGAAUUGACGGGGGCCCGCACAAGCGGAGGAACAUGUGGUUUAAUUCGAUGAUACGCGAGGAACCUUACCCGGGCUUAAAUUGCAUUUGAAUAAUCUGGAAACAGGUUAGCCGCAAGGCAAAUGUGAAGGUGCUGCAUGGUUGUCGUCAGCUCGUGCCGUGAGGUGUCGGCUUAAGUGCCAUAACGAGCGCAACCCUUAUCUUUAGUUACUAACAGGUCAUGCUGAGAACUCUAGAGAGACUGCCGUCGUAAGAUGUGAGGAAGGUGGGGAUGACGUCAAAUCAGCACGGCCCUUACGUCCGGGGCUACACACGUGUUACAAUGGGGGGUACAGAAGGCAGCUACCUGGCGACAGGAUGCUAAUCCCAAAAACCUCUCUCAGUUCGGAUCGAAGUCUGCAACCCGACUUCGUGAAGCUGGAUUCGCUAGUAAUCGCGCAUCAGCCAUGGCGCGGUGAAUACGUUCCCGGGCCUUGUACACACCGCCCGUCAAGCCAUGAAAGCCGGGGGUACCUGAAGUACGAACCGCAAGGAGCUCCUAGG
rnacentral:rRNA from 1 species